AACGAACGCUGGCGGCAUGCCUAACACAUGCAAGUCGAACGAGACCUUCGGGUCUAGUGGCGCACGGGUGCGUAACGCGUGGGAACCUGCCCUUAGGUUCGGAAUAACUCCCCGAAAGGGGUGCUAAUACCGGAUAAUGUCUUCGGACCAAAGAUUUAUCGCCUUUGGAUGGGCCCGCGUUGGAUUAGCUAGUUGGUAGGGUAAAAGCCUACCAAGGCGACGAUCCAUAGCUGGUCUGAGAGGAUGAUCAGCCACACUGGGACUGAGACACGGCCCAGACCCUAAGGGAGGGAGGAGUUGGGGAAAAUGGAAAAUGGGCGGAAGGCUGAACCAACCAAGGCGGGGGAGUGAAGAAGGGCUUAGGGUUGGAAAGCCCCUUUAACCCGGAAGGUAAAGACCGGAACGGGAGAAUAAGGCCCGGGCUACUCCGUG
rnacentral:rRNA from 1 species